rnacentral:rRNA from 1 species
CCCUUAGAUGGUCUGGGCGGCACGCGCGCUACAAUGAUGCAUUGAAAAAGUCUUCUGACCUUAGAAGGUUGGGUAUUCUCCAAAGUGCAUCGUGAUGGGAAUAGUUUAUUGCAAUUUUUAAUCUUGAACGAGGAAUUCCUAUUAAGUACAGGUCAUCAACUUGUGUUGAUUACGUCCCUGCCCUUUGUACACACCGCCCGUCGCUCCUACUGAUUGGGUGUGCUGGUGAAAUGUUCGGAUCGGCCGUUUGUCGCGGUUUCCGCGUCAUGUGGCUGAGAAGUUCAUUAAACCCUCCCACCUAGAGGAAGGAGAAGUCGUAACA